AACCGAUUUGGUCCUAGUCCUCCUAUCAGCUACCCCUAAGACGAUACAUGCAAAUUAAUUACAUAAACGGUGAGAAAAUAAUAAGGCAAACUUAUAAGAGUCUAAUAUAAAAACAUCAGGCAUAAAAACUAAAUAGCCUACGACGUUUAGGAACCUCUAUAUCCCACAUCUGCAGUACCUAACAUUUUACAAUAGACGAAAGUCUGAUACAGCCACAGGAACCAACAAGCCGGUAAAUUAUGUGCCAGCCACCGCGGUUAUACAUAAGGCCUAAGCUGAAAAGAACCGGUAGAAAGAUGAUACUCUACGAGGUCAACACCCCCUCCAGCAGUAAUAAGCUAACAGAAAACUAAAAACAAUAAUAACCUCGUAAUACCCAUUAAAAUCAUCAAGAAAGCUCAAAAAUAAACUGGGAUUAGAUACCCCACUAUAUGAGCCGUAAAACACCCAAACACCAGAGAACUACGAACGAAAGUUUAAAACUCAAAGGACUUGGCGGUUUUCUAGACCUUCCUGGAGGAGCUUGCUAUUUAACCGAUAACCCUCGAGACACCUCACCAACCUUUGCAUAAACACAGCUUGUAUACCAUCGUCGUCAGUGUACCCUAUAAAGGAAGUAUACAAAAUGAUAACCUCCUACCACCCUAACGUCAGAUCGAGGUGCAGCUAAUAGGUUGGGAAUAAGUGAGCUACAAUAAAAUACCCACAACAAAACCAAAUAUGAAUAACCCUAUGAAACAAGGGUUUGAAACAGGAUUCAGCAGUAACACCUAAGAAGACAAUAGAUGUGAAAUCUAAGCUCUAGAAUGCGCACACAUCGCCCGUCACUCUCGUCCCCAGAGGAGAAAAGUCGUAACAAAGUAGGUGUAUUGGAAAAUGCACCUGGAACAAA
rnacentral:ncRNA from 1 species